GUUUAUCAAAAACAUGUCUUUUUGAAUUUAAUUUAAAGUCUGACCUGCCCACUGAAUUUUAAAUGGCCGCAGUAUUUUAACUGUGCAAAGGUAGCAUAAUCAUUAGUCUUUUAAUUGAAGGCUGGAAUGAAUGGUUGAAUGAAAUAUUAACUGUUUCAAAUAAAUUAAUAAUAGAAUUUUAUUUUUUAGUCAAAAAGCUAAAAUAAUAUUAAAAGACGAGAAGACCCUAUAAAUCUUUAUAUUCUAUAUUAUAAUUAUUAUAUAGAUAAUUUAAAUUUUUAUAUUAUAAAAUAUUUUAUUGGGGUGAUAUUAAAAUUUAAAAAACUUUUAAUUAAAUGAAAACAAAAAUUAUUGAAUUAUUGAUCCAUAUAUUAUGAUUAUAAAAUUAANNNACUUUAGGGAUAACAGCGUAAUUUUUUUAGAGAGUUCAUAUUAAUAAAAAAGUUUGCGACCUCNAUGUUGGAUUAANAUAAAAUUUANGUGAANAA
rnacentral:rRNA from 1 species